rnacentral:lncRNA from 1 species
CAGUAUAUUCUCAGUAUAUUCUAAUGUAAAUGUUACAGUCUCAGUAUAUUCUCAGAUAUUCUAAUGUAAAUGGUACAGUCUCAGUAUAUUCUAAUGUAAAUGUUACAGUCUCAGUAUAUUCUAAUGUAAAUGUUACAGUCUCUGUAUAUUCCACUGUAAAAGGUACAGUCUCUGUAUAUUCCACUGUAAAUGUUACAGUCUCUGUAUAUUCCACUUCAUAUGUCACGUCUCUGUAUUUCUAAUGUAAAUG